AGAGAGAGAAUCCCAAGCAGGCUCCAUGCUCAGUAUAGAGCCCUCCUCGGGGCCCGGUCCCACAAUUGUGAGAUCGUGACCUGAGUGAAAAUCAAGAGUUGGAUGCUCAAACUACUAAGCCACCGAGGUGCUCCUAUUUAUUUUUUAUGAAAAGUGUUUCCAGUUUCUCCUUGGCUAGUUGCAAGUCUUACUCAAAUUUUAUCUUGAAAUACACAAAUAAAAAUUAGAAGUUUAUAUAUAAAUUUACUUAUCGCUUUUUGGAUAUUUCAUAUUGUGCCCUUUCCUUAAAUCUUGGAGCAUAACAUUACUAAACAGAAACAUUAAGCAUGAAGAACCAAGAUAAAUACAUUAUGAAAAAUCAGGCUCUUUCUGAGUGUACCACACUUGGCAUAGCACAGUUCUGAAAGGUGAGCUUGCUUUUCUCCAAGAGGUAGUAAGGGUGGGAGGUCUUAGUCAGAUCAUGACAGACAAAAAACAUCCUUCAUUUUAGAAUCAUGAUAUUGUACUUGCACCUGAUCUUUAGAAGUGGUUCAGGACACACUCUACACUCCUUCAGGACUUGAACACUGAUCAUUUCCUGUACCAACCCAUGUUGCCUGUCUAGGUAGUGACGUCUACUGGCUGUAGUUUUAAGUCUCUGUAUUUUAUUCCUCUGCAGUUUAGACAGGUUGGAAAAGAGGGAGGGGAGGAUUGUGGCCUGGAAUAAUACACCAGUGGCCUGAUGUAUGUCUCAUAUUGUGAUUCCUCUAAAAAAGAAAAAAAAGAUUGAUUCUCAUUGACUCUAGGAUUUCCCUCUCUACGCCACCUCCUCAUCCUCCAGUUUCCCUUUGUCUCCAAAUGAGUAAAUCCAGUAACUAUUGGGCCUGUAAUCCUGUGAGCACUCACCAAUCCAAAGGAUAAACUCUUAGCAAUGAAAUGACCUUGAAUGAACUUCAGUGAGAUUAGCUCAGAGAAGGGAUUAAACACAUUUAUGCGAGUACAGUGCUGAGAGAAACCAAGAGAGAGCAAAGUGGCACGGUGUCCUGGGAUCCAAUGGCCUCCUGGUGCAGGAAGUGUGGGCAGCAAGACCCCAGAUACUUGCCUUACACCUCUGUGCGGAUCACAGAGGCAGAGAUGAGGGCUUACCACCAUUUCCUGGGAAGUUGCAUCAGGCUAGAAUAUAUGGCAAAACAAGCACUUCCGCUGCUCCAAUCCUCCCAGCGCUCUGAAGCAGCGUCUGUCCCUGAUACGAGCAGUGGCACAACCCACAAACCGUCAUAGCAUUGGAUGCAGACGUCCUUUCUUUUGAGGAUAUAGAUCAAGAGAUGUGGAGAAGUAUUUCCCUGGGUCUCCAGUGGUGUUAAAAGAGUAGAUGUGUGGGGCUGCCCUGCUAGCCCCGAGCACUGGAUCACGAGUGACAGAGCCACCCAUGUGGUCUUUAACACAUGUAUUUAUGAGAGGGAGGGCUGUGGAAUGUGGAGCUCCCAACAGUGUGGGGUCUGGGGCAGGGGUCACAAGGAAGCUUUUGGGGUGAUGGAAAUGUUCCAUAUCUUGAUCUGUUUGAUGGUUAUGUGAGUGUAUAUAUUUAUCAGAAUACAUUAAACUGUACACUGAGGAUCUGUGUGUUGUGCUGCAUGUAAAUUGUACUUCAAUAAAGUCCUAUUAGCAUAAAAAAUAAAGGCUACCAGAGCAUAUUUUUCUGUAUGUAAGCUAAGUGGGUAAGAACAAUAUGAUUCCGUUACUCUAACACAACUAUUUCAAGUAUUCUUUUCUCAUAUGCUCACACACAUGUGCACAAAUACACCACAUACUUUCUUCUUCUUUUUUUAAACUUGUCUGCAGUCUCACCUCACAUAUAGUUUUUAUGUCCUUGAUAUUAUAUUUUAAAUCUUUUUUUCUGUGGAGAUGGUUUUCAUGAAUGCUUUCAUCUCUUUACUCUUAUAAAUAGUAUUUCCAGUCUACCUUUUUUAUGUAUAACAUUUUAAUUUUACUAUUUUCUUGGCCUAAAUUUCCAGAUAUUAGAUGAAUGAAUAAAAGUUUAUGAAGAUU